CCUUUAAUUGUAGAGGUUCAAUGUUAAUGUGUCAUUGGUGCUUCUCCUUUAAACUCUCAACAUAACUCAAGAUUAACAUCUCACUUUGUAACUUUGUUGCGCGUAAAUAGAUAGAGUGGCUUAUAUGCAAACGUAAAAUUAGAUAGCAACACAGCAGUUAAUGUUUGUGAAUAUGUUGGGCUGGCAAACCCAAGCUUUCACUCCUAUAUCUAUUUUUUGAAUGAAAUACUAUAUAGCAAAAUGAUAAUAUUCAACUAAUAUUUAAUUGCAAACCAUCGUCCAAGUGAAACGUUCAUUUUUAUUCGCAUUGGUAGUCCGUCGUUUAUUCCUUUCAUCAGUGCACUAGCCCUAUACAUAUAUACACCGCAUCACACGUUCAUACAAUAUUGCAGUGAAUGGUCAUUUUCAGCUCACGUAGUCAGUGGCCUGUAUAACGCUGACGCACACGUCCCCACUAUAGUCUCCCAGUUGUAUUAGAGAGAAAGGUGUUAGCUUCUGACGACGAUGACAUCUAUAGGAUGUUUUGGGGUUGUGGUAAGUGCCAACGAUUUGUUGACGGUGAACGGAUUCAAACGGGUACCAGUGUGUUGUCCAGUGACCCUUCCUUGCAAAACAUUCCCAUCAUGGAAUGGAGCUUAUCGAUGACAUAUAUACUUGCGUGCACCAUUAUUACACAGUUUUCAUGCAUGCACAGCCAAAUCUUCAAUGAAAAGAUAUU